rnacentral:rRNA from 1 species
UACAUGUGGGGCAAGCGUUGUUCGGAAUUACUGGGCGUAAAGGGCUCGUAGGCGGCCAACUAAGUCAGACGUGAAAUCCCUCGGCUUAACCGGGGAACUGCGUCUGAUACUGGUUGGCUUGAAUCCGGGAGAGGGAUGUGGAAUUCCAGGUGUAGCGGUGAAAUGCGUAGAUAUCUGGAGGAACACCGGUGGCGAAGGCGGCAUCCUGGACCGGUACUGACGCUCAGGAGCGAAAGCGUGGGGAGCGAUCCGG